CUACCCUGAAUCUCUUUGGCUAUAAUUUGCCCAUUUUUAAUCAAUCAAUAAUCAUAUUUCUGGGUUCUGGGGCUGAGACAGAGAUCGAAGAAAGUGAAAGGCAUGGUUCAUGCCCUUAUAGAGACUACAUAUAGCUAGACCGAAAACAGUGAGAAGCAAAACUGUGGGUGCUUUGAACUGUACAUGCAGUGGGAAUUAAGGAAUGAUGUAGUCAGGCUGAAGUGACCAGGGACAUUUCCUGGGGACAGGACUUGAAGAUGAGUUGGCUUUAGACUAAUGCUGGGGAGUGGGAACUGACCUGGGCAGCAAAGCAAGGCACAGAGGCAGAGAUGAACUCUGAAUGUUCAGGGCUCACCAGGGAGACUGGCUGGGGGCUUCCAUGGGGAAGGAGAGGGAAGCCUGGUCAGAGAAUAGGACAAGACCAGGGAGAGAAGAUCUUGACAACAGAUGAAGGGCAGAGCGAGGAGUUUGAAUUUGAUGAGGACUGCCAUCUACUGGCAGUUGAUGCAGGCUCUUGGGCAGUAGUGUGGCCUUGGUCCCGCUGAGGUGGGCAGGGGGAGCUAGAGACAAGGAGAAUCUCUAGGAACCCCCAACCCUGAAACAGAAGCCUGAGUUUCAACUGGAGGCGGGAGAGGAGAGUCAGCGAGAACGAAGAUGGACAGACUGCGGAAACAUAAAUGAAGAUGGAGUCUCAAACUAUCACCUGGGCUGGAGUGCGAUGGCAUGAUCUCGGCUCACUGCAACCUCUGCCUCCAGGGUUCAAGCGAUUCUCCUGCCUCAGCCUCCCAAGUAGCUAGGACUACAGCUCCCGCAUACCUCCACCUGCCAUAUUGGCCUGCCAUGGUAGGCCAGGGAGAGAGAAAAAGGAAGAAAAGAGAAGAGAAAAGAAAAAUGUGUUGCCUACUGCCCCUGCCUUUAUUGGGAUGGACAGCUGGAGUAAACAUCAUCCAGAAAGACUGGGACUCUGGGUCCUCUCAAACCCAGCACACCCGCACCACGAAUACCAGCCCCCAGCAAGAAACCUCUAAGCACUUUGGGCCAAAGCGGUUUCAGUUUGAAACCAUGAUGAAUUUAACAUAAAUCAAGAAAAGCAACAGAAGCAACUUUUCCCAUCUGGAAUGGAGUACAGCCUUCUAUUUUAUGCUAUUUGUCUACCCUGUCACUAACUGCAGAGAAAACGUUCUAAAAACUGCCCUUUGUAGCCUCAAGCCAUUUC
rnacentral:lncRNA from 1 species